rnacentral:lncRNA from 1 species
GGAUGCCCCCUCGAUGUGUGUGUGUGUGUGUGUGUGUGUGUGUGUGUGUGUGUGUGUGUUCAAGAAACUCAAAAUCAACCUAGGUCUGAGCUUUGAAAUGUCAUGUUGAAUCCAUCAUGGACAAGAGGGAUUGGACUCCACACAGUGAGGCUGCCUCAAGCCUUCUGCAACCAACAGCAAACUUUGAGACCUAUUGGAAUGGACUCAAUAUUUCUACCAUACCUUAACUGAAUCAGUCAACAGAUCAGUACAUUGUACCUCUGACCUAGCAGUAUGUGCCAGACUCUGCUAAUGCUGGGACACAUGAGUGAGGCAUCACUAGACACCCUGACUUUCUGUUUUCCUUGAAAUUAUCUAAGGGUUAUGUCUGUUGUUUUGAUUUAUAAUA